CGAAAGCUCUUCAAAAGAUUUUU
rnacentral:miRNA from 1 species